CAUUGGACUCUCGGUAGGGGGACCAUUAAACCUAGACUUGUAUUUUCUUGUAUGUAUGAAGUAGUAGUUACUUUUGCAUGAGAAAUAUGCAUGAAAUUUGGAUGCCAUUGUUGUGUGGUUUUAUUAUGUGAUGUGCACCGGCUUCGUGCGUUAACGGUGUUUCGGAUGACCUCAGAGUGAAGAGGGGCAUAGCGACCACCUUGAGUUUCGAUUCCCUAAACCUCCGAAGGCGGUU
rnacentral:lncRNA from 1 species